rnacentral:rRNA from 1 species
AUGCAGUCGAGCGGUAGCACAGAGAGCUUGCUCUCGGGUGACGAGCGGCGGACGGGUGAGUAAUGUCUGGGAAACUGCCUGAUGGAGGGGGAUAACUACUGGAAACGGUAGCUAAUACCGCAUAACGUCGCAAGACCAAAGUGGGGGACCUUCGGGCCUCAUGCCAUCAGAUGUGCCCAGAUGGGAUUAGCUAGUAGGUGGGGUAACGGCUCACCUAGGCGACGAUCCCUAGCUGGUCUGAGAGGAUGACCAGCCACACUGGAACUGAGACACGGUCCAGACUCCUACGGGAGGCAGCAGUGGGGAAUAUUGCACAAUGGGCGCAAGCCUGAUGCAGCCAUGCCGCGUGUGUGAAGAAGGCCUUCGGGUUGUAAAGCACUUUCAGCGGGGAGGAAGGCGUUAAGGUUAAUAACCUUGGCGAUUGACGUUACCCGCAGAAGAAGCACCGGCUAACUCCGUGCCAGCAGCCGCGGUAAUACGGAGGGUGCAAGCGUUAAUCGGAAUUACUGGGCGUAAAGCGCACGCAGGCGGUCUGUCAAGUCGGAUGUGAAAUCCCCGGGCUCAACCUGGGAACUGCAUUCGAAACUGGCAGGCUAGAGUCUUGUAGAGGGGGGUAGAAUUCCAGGUGUAGCGGUGAAAUGCGUAGAGAUCUGGAGGAAUACCGGUGGCGAAGGCGGCCCCCUGGACAAAGACUGACGCUCAGGUGCGAAAGCGUGGGGAGCAAACAGGAUUAGAUACCCUGGUAGUCCACGCCGUAAACGAUGUCGAUUUGGAGGUUGUGCCCUUGAGGCGUGGCUUCCGGAGCUAACGCGUUAAAUCGACCGCCUGGGGAGUACGGCCGCAAGGUUAAAACUCAAAUGAAUUGACGGGGGCCCGCACAAGCGGUGGA